rnacentral:rRNA from 1 species
AGGUUACUGCGACAGAUCCCUUCGGGGUGAAGUUGCUUUAGCCUAGCGGCGGACGGGUGAGUAACGCGUGAGUAACCUACCCUAAAGUUCGGGAUAACAGCGGGAAACCGCUGCUAAUACCGGAUGCCUUUACCGUGUGGCAUCACAGGGUAAAGAAAGGUAACGCUUUAGGAUGGGCCCGCGUCCCAUUAGCUAGUUGGUGAGGUAACAGCUCACCAAGGCGACGAUGGGUAGCCGGCCUGAGAGGGUGGACGGCCACACUGGGACUGAGACACGGCCCAGACUCCUACGGGAGGCAGCAGUAGGGAAUAUUGCGCAAUGGACGGAAGUCUGACGCAGCGACGCCGCGUGAGCGAUGAAGGCCUUCGGGUUGUAAAGCUCUGUCCUUGGGGAAGAAGGUCUUCGGACUUGACGGUACCCAAGAAGAAAGCCCCGGCUAACUACGUGCCAGCAGCCGCGGUAAUACGUAGGGGGCGAGCGUUGUCCGGAAUUACUGGGCGUAAAGGGUGCGUAGGCGGCCCUUUAAGUCAGAUGUGAAAGCCCGCAGCUUAACUGCGGAAUUGCAUUUGAAACUGGAGGGCUUGAGUGUCGGAGAGGGUAGUGGAAUUCCCAGUGUAGCGGUGAAAUGCGUAGAUAUUGGGAGGAACACCAGUGGCGAAGGCGACUGCCUGGACGAUAACUGACGCUGAGGCACGAAAGCUAGGGGAGCAAACAGGAUUAGAUACCCUGGUAGUCCUAGCCGUAAACGAUGGGUACUAGGUGUAGGUGGUUUCGAUACCAUCUGUGCCGUAGUUAACGCAUUAAGUACCCCGCCUGGGGAGUACGUGCGCAGGCAUGAAACUCAAAGGAAUUGACGGGGGCCCG